ACCCCACUAUAAGCCCCCAAGGAAAACUCUAAGCACUACGGUUUUAAAACUAAAACUUAAAUAACAUGGCGGCGAACUUAAAUUUCAGAGGAACCUACCAGAUAAAUGAUAACCCGCAAUAUAUUCUUACUUUAUCUAAAAGUUUAUAUAUCGCCGUCUAGUAAUCUUUCAAGAAGGCUACAAAAUGUAUUACCACAAGAAGACAGGCCAUGACAUAGCAUAUGAUAAAGACAUGAGGUGGGUUACAAUAAGAGUUUCUUUCAGAAAUUAGCCUAAAGGCUAAAAUUAAGCUGGAUUUGAAAGUAAUAGUUAAAAUAAAUACAUAAUGAAUAUUUCUAAGUUCGUGUACACACCG
rnacentral:rRNA from 1 species